GAGAAAUGCCCCUCACCCCUAAUAGCAUUAGUGGUGAUAUUACUCCAUCAAUACCCUCCAGUUUAUCAUAACCUCUUUUUAUGCCUGUAGAGUCAUGUCCUGCUUUCCAAAGGAGUGCUUGCCUUACCUCUGCCUGGAAGAAAGAUGAAAGGAUCUUGUUAAUGACCUGAGCUCUUCAGCCUAUAAGUGACAGACAGCUCUAUCUCAAAGUCAUCAGGAACAAGUAGGAAACAAAUGUCAGAAAUCCCAAAAGAACAGUAUUUAUAUAGAAGAAUGAAAAAGCAAUGGUAUAAAAUACAUUCCCCAGCUCCAUAGGAAAAUCAGGCAGAAAAAAAAAUGGUAGAAAACUACUCAUUUAUUGAAUUUCCUAGCUAAGUGAUAUAAAAAAUUGCAGAAAAUGAAUAUAAUUUUUCUUCUCUUCAGGAAAAAAAAAAAGUCCAAAAUAUGCAUGACAAUGGAACAUUUUGGGGGAAAAACAACAAAAAAAACAGACUACGAUUUUGAAGUCAUAGAAGAUUACUGGCAAUAUCAUGAAUGCAUCAGAUAUUUCUAAACACGUGAGGAGGUUUAUUAUAUUUUCAUGAGGUAUGUUUUCUCUGCUAUUAUGAAGAGAGGACUACACAGAUAUAAUAUGAUGUUCCCUUUAUAACUAUGAUUAAUACUCCUUUUAUCAUAACAGAGAAAUUGUCCAUAAUAAAAACAGAUACAAUUUACCUUUGGUGCAUUAAAAAGCUUGUUCUUAAUAAUAAUUUGAACCACAUUUCCCCACAGUGUGCAUUUGUUAAGUGAGCUUAGCCAGUCGUGGAGAAGAAAGCAGAAUGUACUGCUCUCUCAGCACACAUAUAUGGCCCAGAACAGUGAUAUCUAUAUUCCAGUGAAUUCAAAGCCUUGAAAGAAAAGCAAAACGAUACUAACAGAUAGUGUUUUGUUCCAAAGGAGACUGACAAUCACAAGACCUUGCUAUGAUCUUAACUGACAGGUCCCAAUUGAAAAUUCUUGGCAAGCUUUCACUGCACACUAGACUGACAGCUGCAGACAGGAUGGACAGGAGAGCACUAAGUCUUAAUUUGAAUGAGACAAAACUGGAUAACUGUCUUUGCUGCUUUGGAUGUACAAGAGCCUAUAAGAGAAGACACUUGUAUAAGGAGCAUGAUUCUGUCAUCUGCAUAACCUCUCUCUAGCACCAGGGAGGCUGAUACUAUUUCCCUGAAGCCACCACUUCUCCUGGCUGAAGAAUCCCUUCUCACAGAUCAAGUGCUCCAACUCCCAACCAUCCCUGUCCUCCACUGCACUCCUGAUUUCUCAACAUCUUUCACUUUAAUAAGUAGUUUUUCUUCUGCAACCAUUAAAAAUAGUUUCUGAAGUAUUAAGAGUUACAAUUAAAUUCUGCUGCCUUAAGGUUCUCAAUUCCCAAGACACUCCUGGUCAAAAGCUUUCCAAAGGUCACCUACAGAUUUAUGUCUCACAGGAGCUUACUAUUUUCCAUUGAUUCCUCAGCAAGGUGUUGCAUGAUAAUGCAGGAGGCAAUCAGAAGCACAGGAGUUCAAGAAAAUGUGAAGUCGUAACUGACUAAGCUGGUAAAAAAAUGUAUAAAGUGAGGCUGUGCAUUUCUAGUGCCUUGUUUCCCAUACCAGUCAGCUGAAAGGCUUCAUAAUACUUCAGGACACUGUUUUUGAAAGCUUAAAUAAUAACAAGUUUUUUUUAAUAUGGGUUUAUGAAGACAUACGCCAUAUCUCUGUUUUAAAAGAACUCUCAUAAUGGUUCAUCACAAAGAUUGAGUGCCUUUUGCUCUGCAGUAAGAAGAUGAAAUUUGAGUGGCUAUGUUCUAGUGUGCAAGACAUGUCCUGUGAUAUCCCUGGAAAAACUACCUGGUUCUCGCUGCAUUCAAGCCUCACUCAGCAAGACUCAGCACUUUUGGGCCACCCUGGGUUUUUCUGUGCAUUGAAUAUACCUAGGACUCUCACUCCUGUGUCUGUGUUUCUCCUGUGGCACUAAAGAGAACCACUGGCUGCAAGAUCAUCCCACUUGUACUGCUGUGCCAUUUGAAUGGCACAAAGACUGAAAGAAGUGGACUUCCCAGGAUGGACAAAAGGCAAAACUUUGGAGGAUGGAAACAGUGGCAGUAGAUGAAGCAAUUUAGGACAAAGCUGAGGAACACUAUGCCUUUAGAUGGGAAUAAGA
rnacentral:lncRNA from 1 species